UAACAUCAAGCACUGCUUGGUAUUGGAUGUCACUUCUGUGGUGCAUCUCAAAAGUAUUGGCAGUAGCAUCUAGCUUCUAGUGUAGUAAUUUUCUCGCUAUGGAGUUGGGUGUGUGACUGUCAGAACCCCUAAUAUUUUAUAA
rnacentral:misc_RNA from 1 species